rnacentral:misc_RNA from 1 species
UACGGAGGGUGCAAGCGUUGUCCGGAAUCAUUGGGUGUAAAGGGUGUGCAGACGGAAGUCUAAGUCGGAGGUGAAACCUUGCCGCUUAACGGUAAAAGUGCCUUCGAUACUGGAUUUCUUGAGUUCAGAAGAGGUUGGUGGAAUUCGUGGUGUAGCGGUGAAAUGCAUAGAUAUCACGAAGAACACCGGUGGUGAAGGCGGCCAACUGGUCCGAUACUGACGCUGAUACACGAGAGCGUGGGGAGCGAACAGG